rnacentral:rRNA from 1 species
GACGAACGCUGGCGGCGUGCUUAACACAUGCAAGUCGAACGGAAAGGCCCUGCUUUUGUGGGGUGCUCGAGUGGCGAACGGGUGAGUAACACGUGAGUAACCUGCCCUUGACUUUGGGAUAACUUCAGGAAACUGGGGCUAAUACCGGAUAGGAGCUCCUGCUGCAUGGGGGGGGUUGGAAAGGUUCGGCGGUUGGGGAUGGACUCGCGGCUUAUCAGCUUGUUGGUGGGGUAGUGGCUUACCAAGGCUUUGACGGGUAGCCGGCCUGAGAGGGUGACCGGCCACAUUGGGACUGAGAUACGGCCCAGACUCCUACGGGAGGCAGCAGUGGGGAAUAUUGCACAAUGGGCGGAAGCCUGAUGCAGCAACGCCGCGUGCGGGAUGACGGCCUUCGGGUUGUAAACCGCUUUCGCCUGUGACGAAGCGUGAGUGACGGUAAUGGGUAAAGAAGCACCGGCUAACUACGUG